AAUAAGUGUGAUUUUACAUUGUUCAUGUCCAAUGUUAAUCGUUCGUCUUAUUUAAAUUUUUUUAUAAUUAGUUUUUUUAUUAGAUGAUAAAACAUAAAUAGUAUUUUAUGUGUGAUUUUUUUUAAAAAAAUAUUUUAAAUAAGACGGAUGGUGAAACAUUAGGCACGGUUACUCAUGGCUACACAUAUU
rfam:Oryza glumipatula chromosome 12, whole genome shotgun sequence.